rnacentral:rRNA from 1 species
AGAAACCCCGGCUAACUCCGUGCCAGCAGCCGCGGUAAUACGGAGGGGGUUAGCGUUGUUCGGAAUUACUGGGCGUAAAGCGUACGUAGGCGGAUUAAUAAGUUAGAGGUGAAAUCCCAGGGCUCAACCCUGGAACUGCCUUUAAAACUGUUAGUCUUGAGAUCGAGAGAGGUGAGUGGAAUUCCAAGUGUAGAGGUGAAAUUCGUAGAUAUUUGGAGGAACACCAGUGGCGAAGGCGGCUCACUGGCUCGAUACUGACGCUGAGGUACGAAAGUGUGGGGAGCAAACAGGAUUAGAUACCCUGGUAGUCCACACCGUAAACGAUGAAUGCCAGACGUCAGCAAGCAUGCUUGUUGGUGUCACACCUAACGGAUUAAGCAUUCCGCCUGGGGAGUACGGUCGCAAGAUUAAAACUCAAAGGAAUUGACGGGGGCCCGCACAAGCGGUGGAGCAUGUGGUUUAAUUCGACGCAACGCGCAGAACCUUACCAACCCUUGACAUACUUGUCGCGGAUUCCAGAGAUGGAUUCCUUCAGUUCGGCUGGACAAUGUACAGGUGCUGCAUGGCUGUCGUCAGCUCGUGUCGUGAGAUGUUCGGUUAAGUCCGGCAACGAGCGCAACCCACGUCCUUAGUUACCAGCAUUUAGUUGGGUACCCUAAGGAGACUGCCGGUGAUAAGCCGGAGGAAGGUGUGGACGACGUCAAGUCAUCAUGGCCCUUACGGGUUGGGCUACACACGUGCUACAAUGGCAUCUACAGUGAGUUAAUCUCCAAAAGAUGUCUCAGUUCGGAUUGGGGUCUGCAACUCGACCCCAUGAAGUUGGAAUCGCUAGUAAUCGCGGAACAGCAUGCCGCGGUGAAUACGUUCCCGGGCCUUGUACACACCGCCCGUCACACCAUGGGAAUUGGGUCUACCCGAAGGUGGUGCGCCAACUAUUUAUAGGGGCAGCCAACCACGGUAGGUUCAGUGACUGGGGUGAAGUCGUAACAAGGUAGCCGUAGGGGAACCUGCGGCUG